rnacentral:rRNA from 1 species
CCUACGGGUGGCAGCAGUGAGGAAUAUUGGUCAAUGGGCGCGAGCCUGAACCAGCCAAGUAGGGUGAAGGAUGACUGCCCUACGGGUUGUAAACUUCUUUUAUAAAGGAAUAAAGUGAUGCACGUGUGCCUUUUUGUAUGUACUUUAUGAAUAAGGAUCGGCUAACUCCGUGCCAGCAGCCGCGGUAAUACGGAGGAUCCGAGCGUUAUCCGGAUUUAUUGGGUUUAAAGGGUGCGUAGAUGGGUUGUUAAGUCAGUUGUGAAAGUUUGCGGCUCAACCGUCAAAUUGCCAUUGAUACUGGCAGUCUUGAGUACAGUUGAGGUAGGCGGAAUUCGUGGUGUAGCGGUGAAAUGCAUAGAUAUCACGAAGAACUCCGAUUGCGAAGGCAGCAUACUAACCUGCAACUGACAUUGAUGCACGAAAGUGUGGGGAUCAAACAGGAUUAGAUACCCCUGUAGUC